CCUGUCUGUGUAGAUGAGGCAGGUGCCCUUUACUGGCUGUGCUGACUCUGACCUCACCUGCUUUACGCAGACAUUUCCAGCUUCAUCAGUAUGGAUAUUUGAAUUUUUUUUUUUACUGCUAUCAAAGGACUAAAGCAUUGUCGGUGCUUCCUUCUGCCCUAGGUGUAUGUUGUUACUCGACUCAACAUCUAACCCCUUAUUGCACCAGAAAGUAUGCUGAAAUUUCAGUAGGAAGAAAUGCUUCUACCAAAUGCAGAAUACAAAAAUGACUCCAGCGAGAAGGAGGAAAAGACAACAGAAUAAGCCUUUCCUUCUGAGCUGCUGAAAUGCCCCAUCUUUCUGGAAUUGC
rnacentral:lncRNA from 1 species